rnacentral:rRNA from 1 species
UACGAAGGGGGCUAGCGUUGUUCGGAAUUACUGGGCGUAAAGCGCGCGCAGGCGGUCUUCCAAGUCAGUGGUGAAAGCCCGGAGCUCAACUCCGGAAUUGCCUUUAAGACUGCAUCGCUAGAAUCAUGGAGAGGUUAGUGGAAUUCCGAGUGUAGAGGUGAAAUUCGUAGAUAUUCGCAGGAACACCAGUGGCGAAGGCGGCCUUACUGGGUCCAUUACUGACGCUGAGGUGCGAAAGCGUGGGGGAGCAAACAGG